GCUAGAAUAGCUCAAUUGGUUAGAGUGUGUGGCCCUUAAUCACAAGGUUGGAGGUUUGAACCCUCCUUUUAACG